rnacentral:rRNA from 1 species
CCUUCGGGUUGUAAAGCUCUGUCAGGAGGGACGAAGCCACUCAGGUUAAUAGCCGAGAGGGUGACGGUACCUCCAGAGGAAGCCCCGGCUAACUACGUGC